rnacentral:rRNA from 1 species
AUGGCUCAGGAUGAACGCUGGCGGCGUGCUUAACACAUGCAAGUCGAACGGACUGCACGGACUGAAAUUUCGGAUGGAUGACCGUGUACGUUAGUGGCGGACGGGUGAGUAACGCGUGGGAAACCUGCCCUGUUCCGGGGGAUACCAGUUGGAAACGACUGUUAAUACCGCAUAAGCGCACACUGCCGCAUGGCAGAGUGUGAAAAAACUCCGGUGGAACAGGAUGGUCCCGCGUCUGAUUAGGCAGUUGGCGGGGUAACGGCCCACCAAACCGACGAUCAGUAGCCGACCUGAGAGGGUGACCGGCCACAUUGGGACUGAGACACGGCCCAAACUCCUACGGGAGGCAGCAGUGGGGAAUAUUGCACAAUGGGGGAAACCCUGAUGCAGCGAACCGCCGCGUGAGUGAAGAAGUAUUUCGGUAUGUAAAGCUCUAUCAGCAGGGAAGAAGAUGACGGUACCUGCACAAGAAGCCCCGGCUAACUACGUGCCAGCCGCUGC